rnacentral:rRNA from 1 species
GGAGUCUAGCAUGUGCGCAAGUUAAUGGGAGAUAACUAAACCUAAAGGCGCAAUGAAAGUGAAAGUCUGCCUUUGUGUAGACCAAGGGAAGAUGGGUAAUUGCUUUGGUAAAUUGCCUCGCAUUCCCGGGGCGUCUCAUUCUUAUUGCAAGAAAAGGCGCACCAAGAGCGUACACGCUGGGACCCGAAAGAUGGUGAACUAUGCCUGGUCAGGACGAAGUCAGGGGAAACCCUGAUGGAGGUCCGUAGCGAUUCUGACGUGCAAAUCGAUCGUCGGAACUGGGUAUAGGGGCGAAAGACUAAUCGAACCAUCUAGUAGCUGGUUCCCUCCGAAGUUUCCCUCAGGAUAGCUGGCGUUCGGAGUAUACGAGUUUCAUCCGGUAAAGCGAAUGAUUAGAGGCAUUGGGGUCGAAACGGCCUCAACCUAUUCUCAAACUUUAAAUGGGUGAGAUCUUCGGCUUGCUUGAAUUUUUCAAAUGAAGCCGUAAGAAAUAAAUUACUAGUUGAAUCAGAGUGCCAAGUGGGCCAUUUUUGGUAAGCAGAACUGGCGCUGUGGGAUGAACCAAACGCAGAGUUAAAGCGCCUAAAUCGACGCUUAUGGGAUACCAUGAAAGGCGUUGGUAACUUAAGACAUCAGGACGGUGGCCAUGGAAGUC